rnacentral:rRNA from 1 species
AGGCCUUAACACAUGCAAGUCGAACGGAGUUAUAUUGUAGCUUGCUAUGGUAUAACUUAGGUGGCAGACGGGUGAGUAAUGUAUAGGAAUCUACCUAGUAGUACGGAAUAAUUGUUGGGAAACGGCAACUAAUACCGUAUACGCCCUACGGGGGAAAAAUUUAUUGCUAUUAGAUGAGCCUAGUAUUAGAUUAGCUAGUUGGUGGAGUAAUAGCCUACCAAGGCAAUGAUCUAUAGCUGAUCUGAGAGGACGGUCCAG